rnacentral:rRNA from 1 species
GUCAUACGAUUAACCCAAACUAACGGACCCACGGCGUAAAGCGUGUAAAAGAUUUAUCAACACUAAAGUUAAAACUUAACCAAGCCGUAAAAAGCUACCGUUAAUACAAAAUACACUACGAAAGUGACUUUAAUAAUCCUGAUUACACGAUAGCUAAGACC